rnacentral:rRNA from 1 species
UAGAUACCCUAUUAUUUUGGAUUUAAAGGUUUAAGCUUGAGUAGUAUUAGAUAUGGUCUUGAAACUUAAAGAAUUUGGCGGUAUUUUAGUCUAGUUAGAGGAAUCUGUCCCGUUAUCGAUAAUCCGCGUUGAACCUUACUUAAUAUAAUUUAAUAUGUAUACCGCCGUUUAUUUGAAGAUCUUUUUAGGGCUAAUUUUCUUUAAAUUUUAAUUAAUUUUAUUUCAGGUCAAGGUGCAGUUGGUAAUUAAGUGGUGAUGGAUUACAUUAUUAAUAAGAUAAACGAAUUAAAGAUUGAAAGUAUUUUAUGAAGGAGGAUUUAAUAGUAAUUAAUAAUAAGAAUUAUUUUUGUGAUUUUAGCUCUAAAAUGUGUACACAUCGCCCCGUCACUCUCGUUAUUAAGGUGAGAUAAGUC